CCUUGAGCUAAUGGAAGAAGACAUAAUGGAGAUCGGGUGGAAAUGGGCCUCCGAAAGCUUUAAAAAAAAAAAACCGGGUUUUAUUGCAAGCUUUGGGAAUGACUGACCCAUGUGACCCUGAGGCUGUCACUGUACCUUCAUGGAACAGUGGCCUCAUCUGUAACCCGAGGAUGCUGGCUGGGACAGCUGGCUUCCGGGAGUCCUCUAAGCCAUCCUUUCUCUAAACCUGUGCAGCCUUCAUUCCUUCUGCCCACGUGAAAACCUGUGACUCUGCUCAUCAGUGAGAGGCCUCUUCCACACAGAGAUGGGCUUUCAACUUGUUGCCCAGGCUGGUCUUAAACUCCUGAUCUCAAGCAAUGUGCCUGCCUCAGCCUCCCAAAGUCCUGGGAUUACAGACAUCAGCCACUGCAUCUGGCCGAAUAUCCAAGAUUUUCAUUGAAGGAGUUACUUAACAUGGCGAGGAGGGCUGGGCAGUGGAGAGAAUGAGCAGGCACAGGUGGCAGUUGGAUUCUCAAUAUAUACCUUUAAAGAAGUUUGAGUGUGAAUCACAGGCUGAAAGGGUUUGGUUCUGUGUCCCCCACCCAAAUCUCAUCUUGUAGCUCCCAUAAUUCUCACAUGUUGUGGGAAGGACCCGGUGGGAAGCAUGGGGGUAGGUCUUUCCCGUGCUGUUCUUGUGAUAGUGAAUGGGUCUCACGACAUCUGAUGGUUUUACAAACGGGAAUUUCCCUGCACAAGUUCUCUUCUGUUGUCUGCCACCAUGUGAGAUGUGCCUUUCGUAGUCCUCUGUCAUGAUUGUGAGGCCUCCCCAGGCACAUGGAAAUGUCAGUCCAAUUAAACCUAUCUUUUGUAAGUUUCUCAGUCUUGGGUAUGUCUUUAUUAGCAGCAUGAAAAUGGACUAAUA
rnacentral:lncRNA from 1 species